GUGGGGAAUAUUGGGCAAUGGGCGAAAGCCUGACCCAGCAACGCCGCGUGAGGGAAGAAGGCCUUCGGGUUGUAAACCUCUGUCUUUGGUGACGAAACAAAUGACGGUAGCCAGAGAGGAAGCCCCGGCUAACUACGUGCCAGCAGCCGCGGUAAUACGUAGGGGGCGAGCGUUGUCCGGAAUUACUGGGCGUAAAGGGUGCGUAGGUGGCCUUUUAAGUUGGAUGUGAAAUACCCGGGCUUAACUUGGGGGGUGCAUCCAAAACUGGGAGGCUAGAGUGCAGGAGAGGAAAGCGGAAUUCCUAGUGUAGCGGUGAAAUGCGUAGAUAUUAGGAGGAACACCAGUGGCGAAGGCGGCUUUCUGGACUGUAACUGACACUGAGGCACGAAAGCGUGGGGAGCAAACAGGAUUAGAAACCCUGGUAGUCC
rnacentral:rRNA from 1 species